rnacentral:rRNA from 1 species
AGUGAACGCUGGCGGUAGGCCUAACACAUGCAAGUCGAACGGCAGCACAGUAAGAGCUUGCUCUUACGGGUGGCGAGUGGCGGACGGGUGAGGAAUACAUCGGAAUCUACUUUUUCGUGGGGGAUAACGUAGGGAAACUUACGCUAAUACCGCAUACGACCUACGGGUGAAAGCAGGGGAUCUUCGGACCUUGCGCGAUUGAAUGAGCCGAUGUCGGAUUAGCUAGUUGGCGGGGUAAAGGCCCACCAAGGCGACGAUCCGUAGCUGGUCUGAGAGGAUGAUCAGCCACACUGGAACUGAGACACGGUCCAGGCUCCUACGGGAGGCAGCAGUGGGGAAUAUUGGACAAUGGGCGCAAGCCUGAUCCAGCCAUACCGCGUGGGUGAAGAAGGCCUUCGGGUUGUAAAGCCCUCUUGUUGGGAAAGAAAAGCAGCAGGUUAAUACCCCGCUGUUCUGACGGUACCCAAAGAAUAAGCACCGGCUAACUUCGUG